GGGCAUAAUCUCUUAAUUUGAUUUGAGAGUCACUCCGGAAGACGUUUCUGCGUUAUUUGUCUAAUUUCAUCAUCACAUUUAAGCUGGGCAUCUCUUAAUUUGAUCUGAAGUGGAUAUUUCUGCAUCACUCGUCCAAUUCUAUUCUGAUAUUUGAGAUGGAAGAAAUUGGGACUUGUAUUGCGACCAAGCUUGCAGAAUGUCUAUGGGAUCCAAUUUCACGUCGUGCCCGUUAUUUGUUUUGCUUCAACCAAUACAUUGAGGAUGUUGAGAA